rnacentral:tRNA from 1 species
GCCCACGUCGCAUAAUGGUAUUGCACGGGAUUGGAGCUCCCGGCCUCUCUGAGGCUUCCAGGUUCGAUUCCUGGCGUGGGCG